UAGGGAAUCGUUCGGCAAUGGGGGCAACCCUGACCGAGCAACGCCGCGUGAGUGAAGAAGGUUUUCGGAUCGUAAAGCUCUGUUGUAAGAGAAGAACGUGUGUGAGAGUGGAAAGUUCACACAGUGACGGUAACUUACCAGAAAGGGACGGCUAACUACGUGCCAG
rnacentral:rRNA from 1 species